rnacentral:misc_RNA from 1 species
AGAAGCAUUGAAGCUUCAGGCCAAAGAUGGCAGGCAAAUGGUUUGAGUCAAAAUUCAAAGAUUUAUGAUGCUUUUAUUAAAGGAUAUAUGAAGUUACGAAAUGGGGAAAUGGCAGCAAUGUUGAAGAAGGAAAUGUCUGAAGCUCAAAAGUGGCAGGAAGAGAAUUAGAUGUUUAUUAUCGACAAGCUGGAACCUAACUCCAGUCAUCUUAAUAGGACGGCUGCAUACCCAACACAGAUGUUUGAGAGUUUUUAGCCCGGUGGAUUUGCUGCCUUGCCACUCAUCUUUCAACGAGGUAAAAUGAAAGAUGAUGAACUACUCAAUAUCGUUGUAAAUGAUUGAUCAAUAUGCCUGUUUCUUUAAAUUUUCUUCAUUAUCUGUAUUAGCAUGUUUUGUCGCUGCCUCAAGGGCAAAUCCUAUGGCCAUCAAAUUGUAUAGGAACUGUUUGCAACUACUGUUCUUCUGGCAAUUCAUUGUGCAUACAUGCUGUGGAAUUCCAGCGCCUUUUAGGUGACGCAUGUUAGAAAUCUAUCAAUUUCUUCGCAGCCAUUUGCCCCUAAUCAACCAGGGUUUGUAUAUAUUUCUCUGGUAUAAUGAUUUUUGAUACUUGUGAAAUCAUUUGGCAUGAGUUAACUGAUAUACAAGUGUUUUUAACUUGAAAAUUUUUUUU